rnacentral:lncRNA from 1 species
CAAUAUUUUAUUUAUUUAUUGACCCUUUAUACUGUGCUUGAAAGGAAACUCUUAACAGACUGUUUUUCCAUUGAAGAACCACAGGCUCCCAAAGAAAAGGCUGCCUCCACAAAGAAGGUUCCAAAGGAAAAGACCAAGGCAGCUGCCUCAAAGACGGAGUCUCCUAAAGGAAAAGUUAAGACGCAAGAACUUGCGGUGUCCAAAGGGAAGUUCAAACCAGCUGUUGUGAAGAAAGGAGCUGUUGUCGCUGAAGAAAAGACAAAACCUUCCACGACAAAGAAAGAGGUUGUUGUUUCCAAAGAUAAAGCUAAAACAACAACUGCCAAGAAAGAUCCUGUGGAAAAGGACAAGGACAAAAUAACUCCUACAAAGAAAGAGCCUGCAAUCUCCAAAGAAAAAGUCAAGGCAACCACUAGCCAGACAACCACACCCUCUACCAAGAAAGUUGUUUUCGAACCCGAGGCCCCUAAAGAGAAAGCCACUCCAAGAGUCCCCACUAUGAGAAAAGGUAACCACACAAAUGUAGUGGUGCCAAUGGCAAAAGCCACCGGAAGAGUUGUCGCUAUAAGACCCACGUCUACGAGAAAAGGCCCUGCAAUGAAGGAGAAGCUAACUCACGCACCUGAAGCAGGCACAGUAAAGUGCAUCAGUCCCAUCUAUUAG